GUCGAACGAGCGAGAGAGAGCUUGCUUUCUCGAGCGAGUGGCGAACGGGUGACUUACGCGUGAGGAACCUGCCUCAAAGAGGGGGACAACAGUUGGAAACGACUGCUAAUACCGCAUAAGCCCACGACCCGGCAUCGGGUAGAGGGAAAAGGAGCAAUCCGCUUUGAGAUGGCCUCGCGUCCGAUUAGCUAGUUGGUGAGGUAAUGGCCCACCAAGGCGACGAUCGGUAGCCGGACUGAGAGGUUGAACGGCCACAUUGGGACUGAGACACGGCCCAGACUCCUACGGGAGGCAGCAGUGGGGAAUAUUGCACAAUGGGGGAAACCCUGAUGCAGCGACGCCGCGUGGAGGAAGAAGGUCUUCGGAUUGUAAACUCCUGUUGUUGAGGAAGAUAAUGACGGUACUCAACAAGGAAGUGACGGCUAACUACGUGCCAGCAACCGCGGUAAAACGUAGGUCACAAGCGUUGUCCGGAAUUACUGGGUGUAAAGGGAGCGCAGGCGGGAAGGCAAGUUGGAAGUGAAAUCCAUGGGCUCAACCCAUGAACUGCUUUCAAAACUGUUUUUCUUGAGUAGUGCAGAGGUAGGCGGAAUUCCCGGUGUAGCGGUGGAAUGCGUAGAUAUCGGGAGGAACACCAGUGGCGAAGGCGGCCUACUGGGCACCAACUGACGCUGAGGCUCGAAAGUGUGGGUAGCAAACAGGAUUAGAUACCCUGGUAGUCCACACUGUAAACGAUGAUUACUAGGUGUUGGAGGAUUGACCCCUUCAGUGCCGCAGUUAACACAAUAAGUAAUCCACCUGGGGAGU
rnacentral:rRNA from 1 species